rnacentral:rRNA from 1 species
UACGGAGGAUCCGAGCGUUAUCCGGAUUUAUUGGGUUUAAAGGGUGCGUAGGCGGCCUGUUAAGUCAGUGGUGAAAGACGGUAGCUCAACUAUCGCAGUGCCUUUGAUACUGAUGGGCUUGAAUACACUUGAGGUAGGCGGAAUGUGACAAGUAGCGGUGAAAUGCAUAGAUAUGGCGAAGAACACCAGUUGCGAAGGCGGCUUACUAGACUGUGAUUGACGCUGAGGCACGAAAGCGUGGGGAUCAAACAGG